rnacentral:rRNA from 1 species
ACAUGCCUACAACACAAAAUUAAUGCAUUAGAUCCCAUUACAAAUCCACUGUUAACUGUUCUUGGGCUAGAGUAGUACUAGGAUGGGUCACCACCCAUUAAUUCCUAAUAUUUUACAUGCC